UAAAAUAUGACAUACUUAAAGUACAAGACAUGAUGUCAAACAAUAGAUUAAAAUACCUACAUAGAGCCUUUUAACUAUGGAGGCAUAAGGACCAUAUUACAUUUGAUUAUAGUGUAGUAGUUUUUGCUACUUCAAAUAGCUAAAUAAAGAAAAUUACAUACAUAAUGGAACAUUCACUAAAAUACAUAUAGAAACCUACUCCAAUAAUAGCCAUUAUAUUUAUCCCAAGGUAAAGAAAAAAAUGUAACACAUAAAUAGACGACUUACCUUGGCCUCAAUGGACAAUUAUACACUUCAACUUUGAGAAUACACAUCUAGACACCUCAACUCGUCCCCACUGUGUCGUUGUGAACAACCGACGUUGAUGUGACUCAUAAAUUUUGGAGGUGUCUAGAUGAUCAUUUUUGUAAGUUGGACAGGUCAACUGACAUGGUUAGACGAGUUGAGGUGCCUAGAUGUGCAUCCUCAAAGUUGGAGUGUUUAGUUACCAGUUGAGGCCAAGUUAAACUGUGUUGCGUUCAGUCUAUACUGCAAAUUGAUAGAUGGAACAGCAGAUUAUGAGGCCAAUUGUGUUGAAGUAUUGGUUUUGAACUUUUUUUGAGCUUUCAAGUCCACCACAAUCACUGUUAUGUUGUCCUUGCUGCC
rnacentral:lncRNA from 1 species